rnacentral:lncRNA from 1 species
ACAUUUACUAAAAGUUUAUUUCAAAUCUGCCUCCAAGUCCAUGUGUUCUGAAAAGGACAGAGGGGGUCAGUCCACAGGGAAGAACGGGUGAACAGGGCUCCUGCUGAGACAUCUCAUGAGCUGGAAGCAUCCAAGGAGCCAGCCCCUUGCAGACGAGUUGGGAGGAACACCUGGUGUUGCUAACUCUAGGAGGCUGCUGUGGGCAGGCUGGCAUGGCAGCUCAGUCCCGGGGACAGGCGUGGUGGGCAGCCCAGAGCAGGUCGGGCACGACGCCGGCGUGCAGCUGCAGGAUGGAGCCCACGCUCAGCAGGUGCAUGAUCUGGUGGGAGUUGCCCCAGUAGUCAAAGCGGCCAGGUCCCCAGCGCUCGGGCAGACGGGCUACAUUUACCAGUCCCCCAAGCAGCGCCAGUGCGUCCAUGCGCAGGUAGCAGGGCAGGGAGCCUGGAGCCCCUGAACCCAGACCCACUCCCCGGGCCCCA